UUCUUGGUCAUUUAGAGGAAGUAAAAGUCGUAACAAGGUUUCCGUAGGUGAACCUGCGGAAGGAUCAUUACCGAAUUGUCAAACGGGUUGUUGCUGGUCUUCAAACGGGGACAUGUGCACGCUCUGUUUACACAUCCACUCACACCUGUGCACCCUCCGUAGUUCUAUGGUCUGGGGGACCCUGUCUUCCUGCCGUGGUUCUACGUCUUUACACACACUCUGUAAUAAAGUCUUAUGGAAUGUAUGCCGCGUCUAACGCAAUACAAUACAACUUUCAGCAACGGAUCUCUUGGCUCUCGCAUCGAUGAAGAACGCAGCGAAAUGCGAUAAGUAAUGUGAAUUGCAGAAUUCAGUGAAUCAUCGAAUCUUUGAACGCACCUUGCGCCCCUUGGCUAUUCCGAGGGGCAUGCCUGUUUGAGUAUCAUGAACACCUCAACUCUCAUGGUUCGCCAUGAUGAGCUUGGACUCUGGGGGUUUUGCUGGCCUGUGGUCGGCUCCCCUCAAAUGAAUCAGCCUCCCAGUGUUUGGUGGCAUCACGGGUGUGAUAGAUAUCUACGCUCGCGGUUGUCUGCCAGGUAACCUUUGGUGACAAAGGUUCGCUGGAGCUCACAGAUGUCUCUCCUCGGCGAGGACAGCUUUUUUGAACGUUCGAUCUCAAAUCAGGUAGGACUACCCGCUGAACUUAAGCAUAUCAUA
rnacentral:rRNA from 1 species